rnacentral:rRNA from 1 species
UACGUAGGGGGCAAGCGUUGUCCGGAAUCAUUGGGCGUAAAGCGCGUGUAGGCGGUUCGGUAAGUCGGCUGUGAAAGUCCAGGGCUCAACCCUGGGAUGCCGGUCGAUACUGCCGGACUAGAGUUCGGGAGAGGGAUGCAGAAUUCCAGGUGUAGCGGUGAAAUGCGUAGAUAUCUGGAGGAAUACCGGUGGCGAAGGCGGCAUCCUGGACCGACAUUGACGCUGAACGGCGAAAGCUAGGGGAGCAAACGGG